GACCCUCAGCGACCUCAUGGACUGCAGCCCACCAGGCUCCUCCAUCCAUGGGAUUUUCCAGGCUUUGUCCCAAGGGAUAAGCUGGAGCAGGAAGGUGAGGCAGCAGCCAAGACUGACUCCAGGAUUCUCUGCCUCCCCAGCUCCCAGAACCUGCAGAGGGAAGGUGGGGCCCCAAUCUGUGUGGUGGGAAGUGCAUCUCCCCCACAAAGAUGCGGCAAGCUCUGGAGCGGGUUCCAGGAGGCAGACCUGGGAGAAGACGGAGGAGUGAUCAGGGGAUGUUAAUCAUCCCUUGUUGAGCUUGAUUUCAAUCAUCUUGGUUCAAAUAAAAACGAUGUAGAUAGAAAUCUAAUCAUGGAAUUGAUUCUUCCCAUCUUUGGUAUGUGACCCAUGGUUUAUCUACUGUCUGGUUAAUUUCUUCGGCCUGAAGUGGUGAUAAAUUAUCAGGCUUCCUUUGUCACUUUGACAGUAGGCCUUUUGGUUUGGUCCCACAUUACUCAGCUGAAACAAAUAUUAACGUCAGUAAUGGCUCAAGACAGUGUGACACACCAAAAAACAAAGAAAGUUCCAGAGGUAGAAGCAUCAGAGGAUGAAGUCUCAGUGCAAAUGGGUCACAAAAGCAGACUCUGUCAAAGUCCAGAGAGAAUGAAGCUCUAAUGGAAUCACAAGCAGUUCCAGCAUGGGCCAAGAUACACACACUCCCCUCCCCUCCUCCUUGUUUUCCCUCCCUCCCUCAGUAGGACACUUAAGCUCUCAGGGUCAGAAAAGCUGCAUGGAUGGCCUCCCUCUUUGACAGAACUUAGGCCCCUUUCACAGAAGCUCUCAGAAACUCCAGAAGAUAGCUGGUGAAGGCAGAGCCUGAGCACUCUUCCAAACUGCUCUGCCAGUCCCUCAGCACGGCUUCCUCAACGCUUUUGAGAGCCUCUGAGAGAAUCCCACCUGUAUUCCCCAAUUUUGCCCUGACCCAGGCCAGGAACGGUGUGGUGGUUAGUAGAGUGAGUCGUUCCUUUUCUGGUCUCACUAUUCAGUAGCUGUGUGACCAUGGGCAAGUAAUUCACACUUUACAGCUUAGGUUUCCUUACCUGCAAAAAGGAGAUUAAAAUUACCUAUUCCAAGGGUUAUUAUAAGAAUUACUUUAGAAAGCAAAGCUUCCUCGCAUUGUGCCAGGCUCAGAGAGGCCACUCAUUCGUUCAUCGAUUCACUCGUUCUGUACCUACAAGCCUU